rnacentral:misc_RNA from 1 species
CUGCUCUUGCCCUCUCCAGCU